rnacentral:rRNA from 1 species
GAUGAACGCUGGCGGCGUGCCUAAUACAUGCAAGUCGAGCGAACAGACGAGGAGCCUGCUCCUCUGACGUUAGCGGCGGACGGGUGAGUAACACGUGGAUAACCUACCUAUAAGACUGGGAUAACUUCGGGAAACCGGAGCUAAUACCGGAUAAUAUAUUGAACCGCAUGGUUCAAUAGUGAAAGACGGUUUUGCUGUCACUUAUAGAUGGAUCCGCGCCGCAUUAGCUAGUUGGUAAGGUAACGGCUUACCAAGGCGACGAUGCGUAGCCGACCUGAGAGGGUGAUCGGCCACACUGGAACUGAGACACGGUCCAGACUCCUACGGGAGGCAGUAGUAGGGAAUCUUCCGCAAUGGGCGAAAGCCUGACGGAGCAACGCCGCGUGAGUGAUGAAGGUCUUCGGAUCGUAAAACUCUGUUAUUAGGGAAGAACAAAUGUGUAAGUAACUAUGCACGUCUCGACGGUACCUAAUCAGAAAGCCACGGCUAACUACGUG